CGCAGCAGAGUUUGGUCUGCUGCAAUAGAAAGAAAGGAAGGGUUUAAUUGCUAUUGUAGCAACCUAUAGGCUACGUUUUGGUUCGGGUAUAAGUAAGAACUGCUAAUUUUAGGGAUAAGUACAAGUUCAAGUAUAAGCAGGAACUAGACCAAUUUUGCAUUUGGAUGAAAAUUGGAUUGUUCCUAAGAAUAAGGUAAAUAGUGUUUGGAUCGUUAGAUUGGAAUAAGAGAAAUAAGAGUUGUAAUUUGAAAUUAAAAUUAUAUUAUGUAAUUAAUGUAAUACCCUUGGUUGAGUUGGUGGGGGGGGUAUUACUAUAAUUUUUUGUUAAUGGUUAUCCACCCCACCAACUCAACCUAUAUAUAUAUAGGUAUCCAUUGUAGAGAGAUAAUUAAUUAUCUCGUAUUCAUCUCAAACAUUGAGCGUGGCUUGGUGGAGAUCGCGGAUCGAGUUCGGAUCAACGCCGACGUCGCGCCGGGGAGCCGUUCGAGCACACGAGCGUCGUAGUUGAUGCGUUGGGAGGCCGCGCAAGCGUGUGAUUCCGCUAUUUCGACUUCGCCAGCUUUCAAGGUGGGUUUAUCAUCGGAAUCCUACUCCUAUAGUAUAGUUGGUCGACAUGUAUAGUUACUAUUGCACGUUACUAUUAUUUUAGCUCAAAUUCAUGUUUGUGCAUGCGGUUUACAUUUAAACUGAAUUUGGAGCCUAGUUUUAUUAUAAGUUAAUUAUACAUGCCGGACUUAGAUUUGACAUAGGAGAAAACUAGCGUUCGGGACCUGUCAUAUGUUAAACUACCUGACUUAGCCCUAGGGGCCGUUAUAUUUUUAUACUGUUGCAGUAUCCUUAUGGUGAGUACCCCAGGUAGUUCAGAGUUAUGUUACGCUCGUGCUGGGAUGCCGAGCCGAUUUUUACAGUGGUGUUUACAUCGUUCCGGACUAGUGGGUGCCGUAGUGGUUGACGGCGGACCCGGAUUUGAUCGUUUCGAUAUCAGAUUGUGCCGAGGGCACGUGACUAGUGGUUGGUAGUCCUAUUGGACCUGUUUUCUUGACUUUAGCCUGUGAGAGCCUGAUUGAGCUCUGCAGAGAUACGCUUGCAUACUCGGUUGGGUCGCGCCCACGAGUGCCACUCCGGAGUCUGGGUUUGUGCUUUCGCGUUGAUGUCGCUGAUUAGUUUUGCUAUCCACGUACUGUUUAGUGUGGAGGUAGCGUGGCUUAGACAGGUGGGACGGGUGCGUUCACAGUCCCUAGUGAGAUUGGGUCAGAGUUGACAGUUACUACAGUUGGAUAAUAUAGAGCAUGAUAGUGUAGUGGCAUAUAGCUGUAGAUUUCUUUCCAGCUUUACCUACUAGCUUUGUUUCCUUCUGUAGACUUAGUGGGUGGACCGAUGAUGUUGAGGGCGGUACCCACUGAGGACUACUUAUUUUUAUAGUAGUUCUCACGCCUAGUUGUUAUCACUAUUUUGCAUAGCCAUCGUCUUCGGCUGCUCUGCUGUUGCCGAUUCAGAGCGAGGUAAGGGCGUCGCGAGUUAGAGCCCUACCAGUCGAGUUGCUGUGAUAGAGGAGCACCUGCUGCAGGUAGUAGUAUUUUGUUAUUUUGAGUUCAUGUACAUACCCGAAUUGUAACUCGCUAGAGCGAGUACUUUUAUACUUAGUUAUUUUGUAUGUAUAUGAGACUUGUUUUAUUCUACCUAUUUAAUUUCUUUACAGCUCUAUACUACUGGCUGUGGUAUUGUAUGUUUUACAGUUACCGUUACGCUUCGUAUACAAGAAAAAUUCUUUGUAUACGGCGGAUUUGUCGGCGUGCCCGGGGAACGUGUAAUCCGGGGCGUGACAUUAAUUAACAUCAAAAUAUUAUUUAAAAAUAAAUAAAUAAUUAAUUAUUAAUAAUAAAUUAAUAAUAUCGAUUAUCUAAUUAAUAAUAAUAAUAAUAAUUAUUAUUAUUAUUAAUUAUUAAUAAAUAAUAAUAAUUAUUAAUUAUUCUUAUUAAUUAAUUAAUAAUAAUAAUUAUUAUUAUUAUUAAUUAUUAAUAAAUAAUAAUAAUUAUUAAUUAUUCUUAUUAAUUAAUUAUAAAUAAUAAAUUAAUAAUAAUAAUUAUCUAAUUAUUAAUAAUUAAUUAUAAAUAAUAAAUUAGUUAAUUAUUUAAUUAUUAAAGCAAUAAAUAAUGAUUUAAAUAUAUUAAUUAGAUUAAUUAAUAAUUUACUGUCAUUAAAAUUAAAUUUAGAUUUUAGUUAACCUUGUUCUCAUUAAGGAACAAGCUAGUUCUAGGAAACGGGUGGAACAGCAGUUCCAGCCUUAUACCAGCUUGUUCCAGGAACCCGGGAACUACUGUUCCCGGAAACCAAACAUACCGUUUGGGAACAAAGGGGGGAACAAGGGCUUAUUCCCCCUCUUGUUCCCGAACCAAACGCUACCAUAAAGUACCCCAACCUCUUUUUUCUCUUGUUCCCAGCUGAGAACAUAUAUCUCUCUCAUUUCUCUCCCUCUCUCUCUCUAGAA
rnacentral:lncRNA from 1 species